rnacentral:rRNA from 1 species
AUUGAACGCUGGCGGCAGGCCUAACACAUGCAAGUCGAGCGGAUGAAGGGAGCUUGCUCCUGGAUUCAGCGGCGGGCGGGUGAGUAAUGCCUAGGAAUCUGCCUGGUAGUGGGGGAUAACGUCCGGAAACGGGCGCUAAUACCGCAUACGUCCUGAGGGAGAAAGUGGGGGAUCUUCGGACCUCACGCUAUCAGAUGAGCCUAGGUCGGAUUAGCUAGUUGGUGGGGUAAAGGCCUACCAAGGCGACGAUCCGUAACUGGUCUGAGAGGAUGAUCAGUCACACUGGAACUGAGACACGGUCCAGACUCCUACGGGAGGCAGCAGUGGGGAAUAUUGGACGAUGGGCGAAAGCCUGAUCCAGCCAUGCCGCGUGUGUGAAGAAGGUCUUCGGAUUGUAAAGCACUUGAAGUUGGGAGGAAGGGCAGUAAGUUAAUACCUUGCUGUUUUGACGUUACCAACAGAAUAAGCACCGGCUAACUUCGUG